ACGAACGCUGGCGGCGUGCCUAAUACAUGCAAGUCGAACGAACGGAGGAAGAGCUUGCUCUUCCAAAGUUAGUGGCGGACGGGUGAGUAACACGUGGGCAACCUGCCUGUAAGUUGGGGAUAACUCCGGGAAACCGGGGCUAAUACCGAAUGAUAAGGAGUGACGCAUGUCACUGCUUUGAAAGAUGGUUUCGGCUAUCGCUUACAGAUGGGCCCGCGGUGCAUUAGCUAGUUGGUAGGGUAAAGGCCUACCAAGGCAACGAUGCAUAGCCGACCUGAGAGGGUGAUCGGCCACACUGGGACUGAGACACGGCCCAGACUCCUACGGGAGGCAGCAGUAGGGAAUCUUCCGCAAUGGACGAAAGUCUGACGGAGCAACGCCGCGUGUAUGAAGAAGGUUUUCGGAUCGUAAAGUACUGUUGUUAGAGAAGAACAAGGAUAAGAGUAACUGCUUGUCCCUUGACGGUAUCUAACCAGAAAGCCACGGCUAACUAC
rnacentral:rRNA from 1 species